rnacentral:lncRNA from 1 species
UCGUGCGUCAAGGAGCUGUCUUCAUACACUCCAUUUUGUUGCUUUUCUUCAUCUGACUCAUUUUUUGGCUUUUCUGCUUUUCUAUUUUUUUUUGGCUUUUUAUGCUUUUCCUUUUUUUUGGCUUUUCUUUUUUUUUUUUUUUUUUUUUUUUUUUUUUUUUUGGUAACUAUAUACAUAUGUACAUGCUUCAACUUCUACCACCCUUCAAGGAUAGUAGUACUUCAAGAACUUUCCGUUGAGAGUGAUAACAAUUGGCC